UGGGGAAUAUUGCACAAUGGGCGGAAGCCUGAUGCAGCGACGCCGCGUGGGGGAUAAAGGCCUUCGGGUUGUAAACUCCUUUCGACAGGGACGAAGCUUUUGUGACGGUACCUGUAUAAGAAGCACCGGCUAACUACGUGCCAGCAGCCGCGGUAAUACGUAGGGUGCGAGCGUUGUCCGGAAUUACUGGGCGUAAAGAGCUCGUAGGUGGUUUGUCGCGUCGUCUGUGAAAUUCCGGGGCUUAACUCCGGGCGUGCAGGCGAUACGGGCUGACUUGAGUGCUGUAGGGGAGACUGGAAUUCCUGGUGUAGCGGUGAAAUGCGCAGAUAUCAGGAGGAACACCGAUGGCGAAGGCAGGUCUCUGGGCAGUAACUGACGCUGAGGAGCGAAAGCAUGGGUAGCGAACAGG
rnacentral:rRNA from 1 species